rnacentral:misc_RNA from 1 species
UGGCAGGAUCAACCAGGUAGCGUUCCGUGUCGACUUCGGCGUUGCAUGGACGAAUCCAAAACAACACCGACUGUCGUUCGCGUAUAGCAUAGCGUGCGAGGCUAUUUUAGGGGCAAAACAGAGACCGAUGAUGCCUCGUACCCACGAGGUACUCCAUGACCGAGAGAACGAGCACCGUGCCAUUCACCCGAUGACGGCCCCAGGACGUUAUUUUAUUUAAGCCCAUGGGCGUUGUCGGGGCAUGACGCAUUUGCUUCGAAGUUCACCUCGCGCCAAGAACCCAAGGAGGGCUCGCAGCGAAAGACGAAAGGGUCCGUUGAUCCGACGAAUUCCCACGCUUUGGGUAUAGAACACAAGAAACCGACCUUGGCCCCAAGAUGUUUUUCCUGCUCUUGAACCAAUUACUGAAGAGGCGUGCCGGAUACGUUUUCGU